GCAGUACCUUUACUGCUAAAGGGUUGGGAGGAUAUGAAGAAGAUUAUUAGCAUGAUUCCUGCACAAGGAUGAUAUGAAAAUUCAUGAAGCAUUCCCUAUUUUU